GAUGAACGCUGGCGGCGUGCUUAACACAUGCAAGUCGAACGGUGAACCCGGAGCUUGCUCUGUGUGAUCAGUGGCGAACGGGUGAGUAACACGUGAGCAACCUGCCCCUGACUCUGGGAUAAGCGCUGGAAACGGCGUCUAAUACUGGAUAUGUGACGUGACCGCAUGGUCUGCGUUUGGAAAGAUUUUUCGGUUGGGGAUAGGCUCGCGGCCUAUCAGCUUGUUGGUGAGGUAGUGGCUCACCAAGGCGUCGACGGGUAGCCGGCCUGAGAGGGUGACCGGCCACACUGGGACUGAGACACGGCGCAGACGCCUACGGGAGGCAGCAGUGGGGAGUAUUGCACAAUGGGCGCAAGUGUGAGGCAGCGACGCCGGGUGAGGGAUGACGGCCUUCGGGGUGUAAACCUCUGUUAGCAGAGAAGAAGCGAAAGUGACGGUACCUGCAGAAAAAGCGCCGGCUAACUACGUG
rnacentral:rRNA from 1 species